rnacentral:tRNA from 1 species
CGGGGAGUAGCGCAGUUUGUCUAGAGCGUUUGAAUGGGGUUCAAAAGGCCGUGGGUUCAAGUCCCACCUCCCCGACCA